CGGAGGGUGCAAGCGUUAUCCGGAUUCACUGGGUUUAAAGGGUGCGUAGGCGGGCAGGUAAGUCCGUGGUGAAAUCUCCGAGCUUAACUCGGAAACUGCCAUGGAUACUAUUUGUCUUGAAUACUGUGGAGGUGAGCGGAAUAUGUCAUGUAGCGGUGAAAUGCUUAGAUAUGACAUAGAACACCAAUUGCGAAGGCAGCUCACUGCGCAGUGAUUGACGCUGAGGCACGAAAGCGUGGGGAUCAAACAGGAUUAGAUACCCUGGUAGUCCACGCCCUAAACGAUGGAUACUCGACAUACGUGAUAUGACUAUGUGUGUCUGAGCGAAAGCAUUAAGUAUCCCACCUGGGAAGUACGACCGCAAGGUUG
rnacentral:rRNA from 1 species